GUUAAUGUUAAAAGUUAUUUAUUGACUCUUUGAUGGGUGGGGCCUUGUGUUUCUGUGGUACCUCCCCAGAAAGUCCUGCGCUCACAUCUAAAAACAAAGCUUCGGGCUAUCCCAGCUCUUCCCAGCUCGCUGUGUGGAAAGCUAACAUGGCCUUGAGCGCUGGGCUAGACUUGGCUGGGAAACCUCCUUCUCCUGUCUGGGGUGUGAUUCUAGCCAGCUCAGGAGCCCAGGUGAUCCCGCAUGGUUGGGGACCAAGAAGACGUAGUUUGUGAAUCCAGGUUAAGCAGUCACUGGCUGUACCCACGAAAACUCCAGAAAGUGCCGCCAUCCUUGAGAAAAAUCUGCCUUCAGACUGACCGAGGUGCUGAUCGAUCCUUUCCGCCAAGGAGCUCCGGGAAGUGGGAAACUUUUGCCAGAGGACAGACUGCAGAAGGAUCCAAGAGUCACCUUUGCUCAGGUUUCCGCUGGAAUGAACUUACUCGAAAAACAGAAUAGGACUUCGGAAAAGAGAAGAAAAUAGGGGGAAAGCAAUAACUUAUAAAAAGAAGAAUAGAAAGGACAAAAAAAAAGUGAAAUAAAUUAAAGUCACAAAGAUGGAAAGGAUAACACGGAGUUGCCAGAGGCUCAUUCUAGAUGCUGCAACGUGAACAGACCACAGGAAGAAACAGCAGACGGUGAUUGGGUGGCUCCUGUGUAAUCCAGAGAAACCUCCCAGGUUGCCAGAGCCAGGUUUGCUUGUUCCCUACGGCUUUGACCAAACCCAGAUGCCCUGGCCCAGAUAAUGAACUUGGUAAAUGUUAGCAUUCGUUUGCAAAUUGUCUUCUCCUCCAUCAAAGAGAUGGGGACUGAGACCUGGAAAUACAUAAAAGCUUAAAGGCUAGGACCCGCCACCGACUGAGAAUCCACGUAAGUGAUGCAAAACUCCUCUAAAAUUAUCAUGCACUGUUCUCCACUCCUCCGAUUUGGUUCCCUUCUCCAGAACAUGAAGAUUUCUUACAGAGAUUACUUUAUCUUUGCCUUUACAAAAUCAGUUUUGAGGAAUUUCUGGCUCAUCAAGAGAAGCAGCCAUGACAUUGGGGUCAUCCUCCAGACAAAUAUCUCAUCUCGCCUGAUGAAAUCAGGAAGGUGCUUCUGGUGUCCAAGGGAUGAAUGUCUCAUCUCCUGGGAGGGGACUGAAGUCCUCAGCCAGGGGAAGCCAGAACAUCUGUUACAGGCAUGAUCCAGCCUGCUGGCUGAGCGGAAUCUACGGAGGCACUUAGAAUAAAGCCUUGGGUCUUCAUCAGAAGACAUUGCCGUGGUCAUCAAGCCAUUUGCAAUGGAAUCCAGGAUGCGCUCAUAGGGACUAAAUACGCUUAUGAAAAAAUGGUUAUUAGUAUAAUAGUGGGUCCAGAAAGCUCACUGCCUCAGGCACUGACUUUCCUUUGGCUCAUUUGAAAAAAAAAAGAUGGGGCACCUGGGUGGCUCAGUCGGUUAAGCGGCCGACUUCGGCUCAGGUCAUGACCUCGCAGUCCGUGAGUUC